rnacentral:lncRNA from 1 species
AUGAGCCCUAUUAGCAGCGUGCCACCAGCCUCAACUCAAACAUCAAGAGCUAAGGUAAAACCGACUCUUGACAUGGUCAAGUCUUCUGAGAGGAAGAAAGGAUAUGAUAUCAGAGAUCUGAUGAUUGCCAAAACCUCUCUUAGCAUUUCUCCCGUCAGGACACAGUGUCCGGAUAGCACAGUUAGAGCCUUUCCAGAGAACAAACUCAUCAGGCAGGAAUCUAGAUCUGUAGCUGCAGCUAAGAGUUUCCAUGCGGUAUGA